UUCAUAGAGUGUAAAGGCAUAAGGGAGCUUGACUGCGAGACCUACAAGUCGAGCAGGGUCGAAAGACGGACUUAGUGAUCCGGUGGUUCCGCAUGGAAGGGCCAUCGCUCAACGGAUAAAAGCUACCCCGGGGAUAACAGGCUUAUCUCCCCCAAGAGUUCACAUCGACGGGGAGGUUUGGCACCUCGAUGUCGGCUCAUCGCAUCCUGGGGCUGUAGUCGGUCCCAAGGGUUGGGCUGUUCGCCCAUUAAAGCGGUACGCGAGCUGGGUUCAGAACGUCGUGAGACAGUUCGGUCCCUAUCCGUCGUGGGCGUAGGAAAUUUGAGAGGAGCUGUCCUUAGUACGAGAGGACCGGGAUGGACAUACCUCUGGUGUACCAGUUGUCGUGCCAACGGCAUAGCUGGGUAGCUAUGUGUGGACGGGAUAAGUGCUGAAAGCAUCUAAGCAUGAAGCCCCCCUCAAGAUGAGAUUUCCCAACUUCGGUUAUAAGAUCCCUCAAAGAUGAUGAGGUUAAUAGG
rnacentral:rRNA from 1 species